rnacentral:rRNA from 1 species
GUGCAGCAGGCGAGAAACCUUCGCAAUGCGGGAAACCGCGACGAGGGGACUCCCAGUGCCUACGCUCAGCGUAGGCUGUUCCCGAGCCUAGAAAGCUCGGGGAGUAAGGGCUGGGUAAGACGGGUGCCAGCCGCCGCGGUAAUACCCGCAGCCCGAGUGGUGGCCACUAUUAUUGGGCCUAAAGCGUCCGUAGCCGGCCCGGUAAAUGCCUGGGUAAAUCGUGAGGCCUAACCUCACGAAUUCCGGGUAGACUGCCGGGCUAGGGACCGGAGGAGGGAGAGGGGUACUCCAGGGGUAGGGGUGAAAUCCUGUAAUCCCUGGAGGACCACCGGUGGCGAAGGCGCUCUCCUAGGACGGGUCCGACGGUGAGGGACGAAAGCCAGGGGAGCGAACCGGAUUAGAUACCCCUGUAGU